CCUACGGGAGGCAGCAGUGAGGAAUAUUGGUCAAUGGUCGGGAGACUGAACCAGCCAAGCCGCGUGAGGGAUGAAGGUACAGAGUAUCGUAAACCUCUUUUGUCAGGGAACAAAGGCGGGGACGUGUCCCCGGAUGAGGGUACCUGAAGAAAAAGCAUCGGCUAACUCCGUGCCAGCAGCCGCGGUAAUCCGGAGGAUGCGAGCGUUAUCCGGAUUUAUUGGGUUUAAAGGGUGCGCAGGCGGUCUGUUAAGUCAGCGGUCAAAUCCCGGGGCUCAACCCCGGCCCGCCGUUUAAACUGGCAGUCUCGAGUUGGAGAGAAGUAUGCGGAAUGCGCGGUGUAGCGGUGAAAUG
rnacentral:rRNA from 1 species